rnacentral:lncRNA from 1 species
CGCAUAAACAGCAGCAUCCAACAGUUUUGGGGGUGCACACAACAGCCCAUAUGCAUCUAGCUGCUUGGAUUUGGAGGUGCUUUAUUCCACAGUCUGCUUUGCAAAAAGAAAAAGCUGAUGGGCUAUAGAAAGCACAACACGUUACGGAUCCGGCAACAUGGGAAACACGCAACCCUAGGGAAAAUUUAUUCCUAGGACAGCCGCCACUUGGGAGGAGUAUUCUUUUUAGCAUUGAUUUCUUUCCAGCUCAGGGAACCAGAAUGUAGCGUCCAGGAAGACUUUUGAUUUUUGAAGGGGUGCAGCAGCACCCCACGUAGGUGAAUGAAGGGCACGGGUUGCUCCAGCAGCUUUCCUUUUCUUUCUUUUAUUUACGUUAGGAUAGAGAAUGAUAUAUACAUUGUGACGGUGAUUAAAUUAGAAGCAUGUUGAUUUUCUUUUUAUUUAGUUUAUGUUCUUUUUUUAUUUAAGCUUGGAAUCUGUUAUGUUCAUUUAGAUAUUCUCUAAAGUAGCAUUUUAAUUUGCUUAUGUGCUUGAUACGGUAAGUUUCUUUUAAUUCGUAGCUCGUUGUUUUUAAUUUAUGAAGAAACUCAUGGUGAUUUAAUUUUAGAAGAGCACAUGGUUUGCUCCAAA